UGGAUGUUAGGAAUAUAGCAGCAAGAAGAA
rnacentral:piRNA from 1 species